UCCUACGGGGGGCAGCAGUGGGGAAUAUUGGACAAUGGGCGAAAGCCUGAUCCAGCCAUGCCGCGUGGGUGAAGAAGGCCUUAGGGUUGUAAACCCCUUUCAGCGGGGAAGAUAAUGACGGUACCCGCAGAAGAAGUCCCGGCUAACUCCGUGCCAGCAGCCGCGGUAAUACGGAGGGGACUAGCGUUGUUCGGAAUUACUGGGCGUAAAGCGCACGUAGGCGGAUUGUUAAGUCAGGGGUGAAAUCCCGAGGCUCAACCUCGGAACUGCCUUUGAUACUGGCAAUCUCGAGUCCGGAAGAGGUGAGUGGAAUUCCUAGUGUAGAGGUGAAAUUCGUAGAUAUUAGGAAGAACACCAGUGGCGAAGGCGGCUCACUGGUCCGGUACUGACGCUGAGGUGCGAAAGCGUGGGGAGCAAACAGGAUUAGAUACCCCUGUAGUCCA
rnacentral:rRNA from 1 species